GAUAAACGCUGGCGGCGUGCCUAACACAUGCAAGUCGAACGCCCUGGAGCAAUUCAGGGAGUGGCGGACGGGUGAGGAACACGUGGGUGAUCUGCCUUGAGGUGAGGAAUACCGGCGAGAAAUCGCCGACAAUACCGCAUAGGUUCGUAAGAACAAAGUCGCAAGACGCCUUGAGAUGAGCCUGCGUCCGAUUAGCCAGUUGGUGGGUAAUGGCCUACCAAAGACAGCGAUCGGUAGCUGGUCUGAGAGGACGAUCAGCCACACUGGGAUUGAGAACGGCCCAGACUCCGUACGGGGGCGGA
rnacentral:rRNA from 1 species